CCUGAUGCAGCCAUGCCGCGUGUGUGAAGAAGGCUCUAGGGUUGUAAAGCACUUUCAGUCGGGAGGAAAGGAUAGUAGUUAAUACCUGCUAUCUGUGACGUUGCCGACAGAAGAAGCACCGGCUAACUCCGUGCCAGCAGCCGCGGUAAUACGGAGGGGGUUAGCGUUGUUCGGAAUUACUGGGCGUAAAGCGUACGUAGGCGGAUUAAUAAGUUAGAGGUGAAAUCCCAGGGCUCAACCCUGGAACUGCCUUUAAAACUGUUAGUCUUGAGAUCGAGAGAGGUGAGUGGAAUUCCAAGUGUAGAGGUGAAAUUCGUAGAUAUUUGGAGGAACACCAGUGGCGAAGGCGGCUCACUGGCUCGAUACUGACGCUGAGGUACGAAAGUGUGGGGAGCAAACAGGAUUAGAUACCCUGGUAGUCCACACCGUAAACGAUGAAUGCCAGACGUCAGCAAGCAUGCUUGUUGGUGUCACACCUAACGGAUUAAGCAUUCCGCCUGGGGAGUACGGUCGCAAGAUUAAAACUCAAAGGAAUUGACGGGGGCCCGCACAAGCGGUGGAGCAUGUGGUUUAAUUCGACGCAACGCGCAGAACCUUACCAACCCUUGACAUACUUGUCGCGGAUUCCAGAGAUGGAUUCCUUCAGUUCGGCUGGACAAUGUACAGGUGCUGCGUGGCUGUCGUCAGCUCGUGUCGUGAGAUGUUCGGUUAAGUCCGGCAACGAGCGCAACCCACGUCCUUAGUUACCAGCAUUUAGUUGGGUACCC
rnacentral:rRNA from 1 species